UACGAAGGGGGCUAGCGUUGUUCGGAAUCACUGGGCGUAAAGCGCACGUAGGCGGAUUGUUAAGUCGGGGGUGAAAUCCUGAGGCUCAACCUCAGAACUGCCUUCGAUACUGGCAAUCUCGAGUCCGGAAGAGGUUGGUGGAACAGCUAGUGUAGAGGUGAAAUUCGUAGAUAUUGGGAGGAACACCGGUGGCGAAGGCGACCACCUGGACGAAGACUGACGCUGAGGCGCGAAAGCGUGGGGAGCAAACAGG
rnacentral:rRNA from 1 species